GACGGAGGGGGCUAGCGUUGUUCGGAAUUACUGGGCGUAAAGGGCGCGUAGGCGGAUUAGCAAGUUGGAAGUGAAAGCCCGGGGCUUAACCUCGGAACUGCUUUCAAAACUGCUAGUCUUGAGUGAAGUAGGGGGUGAUGGAAUUCCUAGUGUAGAGGUGAAAUUCUUAGAUAUUAGGAGGAACACCGGUGGCGAAGGCGGUCACCUGGACUUCAACUGACGCUGAGGCGCGAAAGCGUGGGGAGCAAACAGG
rnacentral:rRNA from 1 species